CGGGACCCUGCCGUUGCUGCGGCCGGCAGCACUUACGGACGCCAAGUCGAAUGAGGCGACGGCGCAACCUUGUAGAUACAGCAGGCAGCGACGGCAGCAGGGGAGGAGGAGUGUGGCAAGGGCUGAAGCGGCAAGGGCUUCAUGCGCUCGCCUUAGAACACUGGGACAUUCUUGCUUCUGCUACGCUUUCCGUCUUUGCAUAGGCCGCUUUUGUCACACGGCUUGCAGCAUGUUAAAUGAUUCAUUGCCCAGAUAAUAAGCAUCGCAGGGGCAGCGGAAAUGGAUGCAAUAGCAGCAGUAGCGUAGACAGCUGGCUUUAGCGGAAGCAUCGAGGCUCUUGAGUUAUUCGACGAUGGGGGAGGCGGCCGUGUGAGCCUUUGAGAUUUUUUGUUUCUAGGCUAGCACCACUGGGUUUUGGGUUGAAUGAGAACUGGUGAGCGGAUUAUCGGACACGUGUUUUGAGCGUUGCAUGUUUUGCAGAGCCUAUUCGGCAUUUGGCGGUCAUUCUUAGAACGGCAUGUGGGGAAGUCCUCGUAAGGUAUAAUCGGAUGAAUGCUCUGACGUCACUCAAGCGCUACUUUUUCCUGAUUAAAGAUAGGCAGUGGAGCUUGGUAGACUGGGCUUUGAACCGUCUAUGUCCGACCCUGCACUGUUUGUCAAACGUGGUUCGAUCGAUAUGCUAGUGCAUGUAGACGAUCUACUAGUGGCCACAGCGACUUUGCAGGAGGUCGCUGCAGCGUUUGCCUUUGGAUAAACUGAUAGACAGCAAGGUCUUAGUAAAGGUGUUCUGGAUGCCGACUGGCUGCAAGGUUACUCGACUCCUGGUGACUAAAAGUGACACCGUGCUGGAAGCAGUCAGCAAUGAGGGUCAUGUCGUACUGGAUCUGCAGCCGCUGCAGAUACCCGGUCCACGUGUCAGUGCUGUCCAACCCACGGGUCACUGUGGGGGUAGCGCCGCCGGGCAGGAUGGUAGUGGAAGUGCUGCCGCUGGGCAAAGUGCCGGCAGCCGGGAGGUCACACCGGCGGGAGCUCGAAAGGACAACAGUGUCGCCGGACGGAUCACAGCGGCAACACCAACGGCUGUUCAGCAGCCGAGCUUUCUGCGGCACAAUGCCUGGACCGCAAGAUGGGGCAUCUCAGCUAUCGCGUGGCAUCGCAUACACUCCGUGCCGUAUUCUCCUCCAUUAUCACUAAGAAGUGUGCGCACACAUGCCUGGGCCGGUGGCGUGGCUGCAUCUGCUCACCAUGUCCUGCAGAGCAGCUCCAACGUGGUCUUUAGCCACUAACGUUCGGACGAGAGAACGGCCCGUGGAACCGUCCAGCUGCAUGAGCAGGUACCGUGCACCUCCACACGGCGUGACGCGGCCGGUGCAGGUGAAGGAAGCCGUUUUGGCUGUCGCGACACUGUUAUCCUUCGAGCUGCCGCCGGUGUGACCUCCAGCGGUGGUGCCGCUGCCGGCACUUUGGCCAGCGGCAGAGCAUCAUGGGCCGGCAUUCUAUGCCAUUUGCGGCUUUGUAACGAUAUUGACUCAGUGAGCAGAGAACUAAUAUUCAUGUCCUAAAUAUCGGUACGCAUUUGUCGGCGCCAACAGCAUUCCAAUUAGGAGUGAAGAAGGAGCUGCAAC
rnacentral:lncRNA from 1 species